GUGUGGGUCCUGUGCGGCGAGGCGCCGUGAACCAUGUCAGGCGGGGAACCGAGCAGCAUUAAGCGAUCCGCUUUGCGCGCCACAGUCCGCCUACCGCCA
rnacentral:SRP_RNA from 1 species